rnacentral:rRNA from 1 species
AGCUACUAAGAGCGAAUGGUGGAUGCCUUGACUGGUAAAGGCGAUGAAGGACGUACUAGACUGCGAUAAGCUACGGGGAGCUGUCAAGAAGCUUUGAUCCGUAGAUUUCCGAAUGGGGCAACCCAAUGUAUAGAGAUAUACAUUACCUAUAUAGGAGCGAACGAGGGGAAUUGAAACAUCUUAGUACCCUCAGGAAAAGAAAUCAAUAGAGAUUGCGUCAGUAGCGGCGAGCGAAAGCGUAAGAGGGCAAACCCAGUGCUUGCACUGGGGGUUGUAGGACUGCAAUGUGCAAGAGGUGAGUUUAGCAGAACAUUCUGGAAAGUAUAGCCAUAGAGGGUGAUAGUCCCGUAUGCGAAAAACAAACCUUAGCUAGCAGUAUCCUGAGUAGGGCGGGACACGAGAAAUCCUGUCUGAAGCUGGGUCGACCACGAUCCAACCCUAAAUACUAAUACCAGAUCGAUAGUGCACAAGUACCGUGAGGGAAAGGUGAAAAGAACUGAGGUGAUCAGAGUGAAAUAGAACCUGAAACCAUUUGCUUACAAUCAUUCAGAGCACUAUGUAGCAAUACAGUGUGAUGGACUGCCUUUUGCAUAAUGAGCCUGCGAGUUGUGGUGUCUGGCAAGGUUAAGCAAACGCGAAGCCGUAGCGAAAGCGAGUCUGAAUAGGGCGCUUAGUCAGAUGCUGCAGACCCGAAACGAAGUGAUCUAUCCAUGAGCAAGUUGAAGCUAGUGUAAGAACUAGUGGAGGACUGAACCCAUAGGCGUUGAAAAGCCCCGGGAUGACUUGUGGAUAGGGGUGAAAGGCCAAUCAAACUUCGUGAUAGCUGGUUCUCUCCGAAAUAUAUUUAGGUAUAGCGUUGUGUCGUAAUAUAAGGGGGUAGAGCACUGAAUGGGCUAGGGCAUACACCAAUGUACCAAACCCUAUCAAACUCCGAAUACCUUAUAUGUAAUCACAGCAGUCAGGCGGCGAGUGAUAAAAUCCGUCGUCAAGAGGGAAACAACCCAGACUACCAGCUAAGGUCCCUAAAUCUUACUUAAGUGGAAAACGAUGUGAAGUUACUUAAACAACCAGGAGGUUGGCUUAGAAGCAGCCAUCCUUUAAAGAAAGCGUAAUAGCUCACUGGUCUAGUGAUUUUGCGCGGAAAAUAUAACGGGGCUAAAGUAAGUACCGAAGCUGUAGACUUGAUUUUAUCAAGUGGUAGGAGAGCGUUCUAUUUGCGCCGAAGGUAUACCGGUAAGGAGUGCUGGAGCGAAUAGAAGUGAGCAUGCAGGCAUGAGUAGCGAUAAUUAAUGUGAGAAUCAUUAACGCCGUAAACCCAAGGUUUCCUACGCGAUGCUCGUCAUCGUAGGGUUAGUCGGGUCCUAAGUCGAGUCCGAAAGGGGUAGACGAUGGCAAAUUGGUUAAUAUUCCAAUACCAACAUUAGUGUGCGAUGGAAGGACGCUUAGGGCUAAGGGGGCUAGCGGAUGGAAGUGCUAGUCUAAGGUCGUAGGAGGUUAUACAGGCAAAUCCGUAUAACAUACUCCGAGAACUGAAAGGCUUUUUGAAGUCUUCGGAUGGAUAGAAGAACCCCUGAUGCCGUCGAGCCAAGAAAAGUUUCUAAGUUUAGCUAAUGUUGCCCGUACCGUAAACCGACACAGGUGGGUGGGAUGAGUAUUCUAAGGCGCGUGGAAGAACUCUCUUUAAGGAACUCUGCAAAAUAGCACCGUAUCUUCGGUAUAAGGUGUGGUUCGCUUCGUAUUAGGAUUUACUCCGAAAGCGAAGAAACUUACAACAAAGAGUCCCUCCCGACUGUUUACCAAAAACACAGCACUCUGCUAACUCGUAAGAGGAUGUAUAGGGUGUGACGCCUGCCCGGUGCUCGAAGGUUAAUUGAUGGGGUUAGCAUUAGCGAAGCUCUUGAUCGAAGCCCGAGUAAACGGCGGCCGUAACUAUAACGGUCCUAAGGUAGCGAAAUUCCUUGUCGGUUAAAUACCGACCUGCAUGAAUGGCGUAACGAGAUGGGAGCUGUCUCAAAGAGGGAUCCAGUGAAAUUGUAGUGGAGGUGAAAAUUCCUCCUACCCGCGGCAAGACGGAGAGACCCCGUGGACCUUUACUACAGCUUGACACUGCUAUUUGGAUAAGAAUGUGCAGGAUAGGUGGGAGGCUUUGAGUAUAUGACGCCAGUUGUAUAUGAGCCAUUGUUGAGAUACCACUCUUUCUUAUUUGGGUAGCUAACCAGCUUGAGUUAUCCUCAAGUGGGACAAUGUCUGGUGGGUAGUUUGACUGGGGCGGUCGCCUCCCAAAUAAUAACGGAGGCUUACAAAGGUUGGCUCAGAACGGUUGGAAAUCGUUCGUAGAGUAUAAAGGUAUAAGCCAGCUUAACUGCAAGACAUACAAGUCAAGCAGAGACGAAAGUCGGUCUUAGUGAUCCGGUGGUUCUGUGUGGAAGGGCCAUCGCUCAAAGGAUAAAAGGUACCCCGGGGAUAACAGGCUGAUCUCCCCCAAGAGCUCACAUCGACGGGGAGGUUUGGCACCUCGAUGUCGGCUCAUCGCAUCCUGGGGCUGGAGCAGGUCCCAAGGGUAUGGCUGUUCGCCAUUUAAAGCGGUACGCGAGCUGGGUUCAGAACGUCGUGAGACAGUUCGGUCCCUAUCUGCCGUGGGCGUAAGAAGAUUGAAGAGAUUUGACCCUAGUACGAGAGGACCGGGUUGAACAAACCACUGGUGUAGCUGUUGUUCUGCCAAGAGCAUCGCAGCGUAGCUAAGUUUGGAAAGGAUAAACGCUGAAAGCAUCUAAGCGUGAAGCCAACUCUAAGAUGAAUCUUCUCUAAGCUCUCUAGAAGACUACUAGUUUGAUAGGCUGGGUGUGUAAUGGAUGAAAGUCCUUUAGCUGACCAGUACUAAUAGAGCGUUUGGCUUAUCUUUAAUAAAGCAU